rnacentral:rRNA from 1 species
GAUGAACGCUAGCGAUAGGCUUAACACAUGCAAGUCGAGGGGCAGCAUGGUCUUAGCUUGCUAAGACUGAUGGCGACCGGCGCACGGGUGCGUAACGCGUAUGCAACUUGCCUCACAGAGGGGGAUAACCCGUCGAAAGACGGACUAAUACCGCGUACACUCUAUUUUGGGCAUCCAAGGUAGAGGAAAUGAAAUUCGCUGUGAGAUAGGCAUGCGUCCCAUUAGCUAGUUGGUGAGGUAACGGCUCACCAAGGCGACGAUGGGUAGGGGAACUGAGAGGUUGAACCCCCACACUGGUACUGAGACACGGACCAGACUCCUACGGGAGGCAGCAGUGAGGAAUAUUGGUCAAUGGGCGAGGGCCUGAACCAGCCAAGUCGCGUGAAGGAUGACUGUCUUAUGGAUUGUAAACUUCUUUUGUAGGGGAAUAAAGAGGGGCACGUGUGCCCCAGUGAAUGUACCCUACGAAUAAGCAUCGGCUAACUCCGU